GAGUCGAACGCUGAAGCUCCAGCUUGCUGGGGUGGAUGAGUGGCGAACGGGUGAGUAAUACGUGAGUAACCUGCCCUUGACUCUGGGAUAAUCCUGGGAAACCGGGUCUAAUACUGGAUACGACGUCCUACCGCAUGGUGGGGCGUGGAAAGGGUUUUACUGGUUUUGGAUGGGCUCACGGCCUAUCAGCUUGUUGGUGGGGUAAUGGCCUACCAAGGCGACGACGGGUAGCCGGCCUGAGAGGGUGACCGGCCACACUGGGACUGAGACACGGCCCAGACUCCUACGGGAGGCAGCAGUGGGGAAUAUUGCACAAUGGGCGGAAGCCUGAUGCAGCGACGCCUCGUGAGGGAUGACGGCCUUCGGGUUGUAAACCUCUUUCAGCAGGGAAGAAGCCACAAGUGACGGUACCUGCAGAAGAAGCGCCGGCUAACUACGUGCCACAGCCGCGGUAAUACGUAGGGCGCAAGCGUUGUCCGGAAUUAUUGGGCGUAAAGAGCUCGUAGGCGGUUUGUCGCGUCUGCUGUGAAAGCCCGGGGCUCAACCCCGGGUCUGCAGUGGGUACGGGCAGACUAGAGUGCAGUAGGGGAGACUGGAAUCCUGGUGUAGCGUUGAAAUGCUCACAUAUCAGGAGGAACACCGAUGGCGAAAGCGGUCUCUGGGCUGUUACUGACGCUGAAGAGCGAAGCAUGGGGAGCGAACAGGAUUAGAUACCUGGUAGUCCUGCCGGAUACGUUGGGCACUAGGUGUGGGGACUUCCACGUUCUCGCGCCGUAUCUAACGCAUUAGUGCCCGCCUGG
rnacentral:rRNA from 1 species